CCCAGAGAGGUUCGAACGAAAUCUUCCAAGCAUAGUAUCAUUGGUUUCCUUCCCCCUUACUUAUAUUCCCCUGAUUGGUCUCAAGACAUUGGUACACUAUACGUUACAACACUUGCCGUCAGUACUCAAAAUUGGAAAAAUAUUAAAUAAGAAGGUUGCCAGCAAGAUGAAAAGAACAAUGCAGUUCAAAAGUCAAAAUGUGGAUAAGCUGAGAUACAAGGUCCUACUUUUGCAGAUUUUCAUAUUUUGCAUGAAUGAAUUUGAAGUUUAUAUCAUGGAGGGCAGAGAAAGAAAAGAAACACUUCAAUUUUCCUGCUUCUGAAGAAUAAAUGUAAAACAUCUUGUUCGAAGGAUUGAAAUUCAUCACUUAGAAUAAAAGGAGAAAACACAGAAACAAGACCAGAAUAAAUUCAAAGACAAAUGUCAGAUCAGUUAUUAUUUUCAUC